CCUACGGGAGGCAGCAGUGGGGAAUAUUGGGCAAUGGGCGCAAGCCUGACCCAGCAACGCCGCGUGAAGGAAGAAGGCUUUCGGGUUGUAAACUUCUUUUAAGAGGGAAGAGCAGAAGACUGUACCUCUUGACUAAGCCACGGCUAACUACGUGCCAGCAGCCGCGGUAAUACGUAGGUGGCAAGCGUUGUCCGGAUUUACUGGGUGUAAAGGGCGUGUAGCCGGGCUGACAAGUCAGAUGUGAAAUUCCGGGGCUCAACCCCGGACCUGCAGUUGAAACUGUUGGUCUUGAGUAGCGGAGAGGCAGGCGGAAUGCGUGGUGUAGCGGUGAAAUGCGUAGAUAUUAGGAAGAACACCAGUGGCGAAGGCGGCCUGCUGGACGACAACUGACGGUGAGGCGCGAAAGCGUGGGGAGCAAACAGGAUUAGAUACCCUAGUAGUC
rnacentral:rRNA from 1 species